rnacentral:rRNA from 1 species
UGCCAGCCGCCGCGGUAAGACGUAGGGUGUAAGCGUCGUUCGGAAUUACUGGGCGUAAAGGGCGUGUAGGCGGAAUUUUAAGUUAUAGGUGAAAGCCCGGGGCUCAACCCCGGAAGUGCUUAUAAGACUGGAAUUCUAGAGGGAGUCAGAGGUUGGCGGAAUUCCUGGUGUAGAGGUGAAAUUCGUAGAUAUCAGGAAGAACACCGGAGGCGAAAGCGGCCAACUGGGGCUUUUCUGACGCUGAGGCGCGAAAGCAUGGGGAGCAAACAGGAUUAGAUA